UGUAAUUGAUUGUGGCGCACCGCCACGGCAAAAUAAAAGCCGCCACACCUUCAGAAUAAUGUUUUUUUUAACCUUGUUUUUAUGUUGUUUUAUGUUUAUAUUAACGACGAUUAUUGUAUUAAAUGUGAUUUCGGCACAAAACGUGGUGUUUUUCGUGAAAUGUGAGGCUACGCUGCAAAUACCCUACCCUUAUUUUGAAAAACUAACACCGGAGUCACUGCCUGGCACCUGCCUGUCUAACUGCUGCGCGUGAUAUGCGAAGAGAGUAGAGACAACAGUCCGACGUGGAGGGAGAGAAAAGGGUGAAAGAAAGAAUCUGACUGGCUGCCAGAGUCUGAGCCACUGCCUGAGUCACUGCUCCCUGAUUGGCUACUGCUGCUGGAGGAGCUGGAACUGGAGUCUGAACCGGACCCUGAUGCUGAACCCGAUCCAGAACCGGAUUCAUCAUCAGAAUUACUGUCACAUGUAAAGACAAAAAUCAGAGAAUGGACAUUGUUGCAUUAUUAAUUAAUACGUGAAUAAUUCUCAAAUCAUAAAGUUUUACCAAGUCUAAAGGUUUAGAUAAGUUGAAUAUGCUGUUACUAAUAUCAAUAUACUGUCAGCUGUAUCAUUCAAGAUGUUAUAAACGAUUAUCAACAAAA